AUUGAACGCUGGCGGCAUGCCUUACACAUGCAAGUCGAACGGUAACAGGUCUUCGGAUGCUGACGAGUGGCGAACGGGUGAGUAAUACAUCGGAACGUGCCCGAUCGUGGGGGAUAACGGAGCGAAAGCUUUGCUAAUACCGCAUACGAUCUACGGAUGAAAGCAGGGGACCGCAAGGCCUUGCGCGGACGGAGCGGCCGAUGGCGGAUUAGGUAGUUGGUGGGAUAAAAGCUUACCAAGCCGACGAUCUGUAGCUGGUCUGAGAGGACGACCAGCCACACUGGGACUGAGACACGGCCCAGACUCCUACGGGAGGCAGCAGUGGGGAAUUUUGGACAAUGGGCGAAAGCCUGAUCCAGCCAUGCCGCGUGCAGGAUGAAGGCCUUCGGGUUGUAAACUGCUUUUGUACGGAACGAAAAGACUCUUUCUAAUAAAGAGGGUCCAUGACGGUACCGUAAGAAUAAGCACCGGCUAACUACGUG
rnacentral:rRNA from 1 species